rnacentral:rRNA from 1 species
GGGCCCGCACAAGCGGUGGAGUAUGUGGUUUAAUUCGAUGCAACGCGAAGAACCUUACCAGGGUUUGACAUCCUGCGAAUCUCUUGGAAACAGGAGAGUGCCUUCGGGAACGCAGUGACAGGUGGUGCAUGGCUGUCGUCAGCUCGUGUCGUGAGAUGUUGGGUUAAGUCCCGCAACGAGCGCAACCCACGUCUUUAGUUGCCAGCAUUUAGUUGGGGACUCGUAGGAGACUGCCGGGGUCAACUCGGAGGAAGGUGUGGAUGACGUCAAGUCAUCAUGCCCCUUACAUCCUGGGCUACACACGUACUACAAUGCUACGGACAAAGGGCAGCAAGUUCGCGAGGACAAGCAAAUCCCAUAAACCGUGGCUCAGUUCAGAUCGUAGGCUGCAACUCGCCUACGUGAAGGCGGAAUCGCUAGUAAUCGC